GACGAACGCUGGCGGCGUGCUUAACACAUGCAAGUCGAACGGAAAGGCCCUGCUUUUGUGGGGUGCUCGAGUGGCGAACGGGUGAGUAACACGUGAGUAACCUGCCCUUGACUUUGGGAUAACUUCAGGAAACUGGGGCUAAUACCGGAUAGGGGCUCCUGCUGCAUGGUGGGGGUUGGAAAGUUUCGGCGGUUGGGGAUGGACUCGCGGCUUAUCAGCUUGUUGGUGGGGUAGUGGCUUACCAAGGCUUUGACGGGUAGCCGGCCUGAGAGGGUGACCGGCAACAUGGGGACUGGGAUACGGCCAGGCCUCCUCGGGGGGGCGGCAGGGGGAAAUAUGGAAAAGGGGGGGGAGGCCGGAGGCAGCACCGCCGGGUGGGGGAGGACGGCCUUCGGGUUGUAACCCGCUUUCGCCGGGGACGAGGCGGGAGGGAGGGUAAUGGAUAAAGAACCCCCGGCUAAUUCCGUC
rnacentral:rRNA from 1 species